UACGGGGGGAGCAAGCGUUGUUCGGAUUUACUGGGCGUAAAGGGCGCGUAGGCGGCGCAACAAGUCACUUGUGAAAUCUCCGGGCUUAACCCGGAGCGGCCAAGUGAUACUGUCGUGCUAGAGUGCGGAAGGGGCUACUGGAAUUCUCGGUGUAGCGGUGAAAUGCGUAGAUAUCAGGAGGAACACCGGUGGCGAAGGCGGGUCUCUGGGCCGUAACUGACGCUGAGGAGCGAAAGCAUGGGGAGCGAACAGG
rnacentral:rRNA from 1 species